rnacentral:tRNA from 1 species
AAGAAGAAGCAUAUGCCCUACCAUCAACACCCAAAGCUGAAGUUCUAAUUAAACUACUUCUUGCAC